UACGUAGGGGGCUAGCGUUGUCCGGAUUUAUUGGGCGUAAAGAGCGCGUAGGCGGCCCGGUAAGUCCGCUGUGAAAGUCAAAGGCUUAACCUUUGAAUGUCAGCGGAUACUGCCGGGCUAGAGUCCGGGAAGAGGCGAGUGGAAUUCCUGGUGUAGCGGUGGAAUGCGCAGAUAUCAGGAGGAACACCAACGGCGAAGGCAGCUCCGCU
rnacentral:rRNA from 1 species